AGAGUUUGAUCCUGGCUCAGAUUGAACGCUGGCGACGUGCUUAACACAUGCAAGUCGUGCGAGAAAGGAGACUUCGGUCUCUGAGUAGAGCGGCGCACGGGUGAGUAACGCGUGGAUGAUCUACCCUUGAGUUCGGGAUAACGGUGCGAAAGCGCCGCUAAUACCGUAUAACAAUCCAUUUCAUCGUGGGUUCAAAGCAGGCCUCUUCAUGAAAGCUUGCGCUUGGGGAUGAGUCCGCGUCCCAUUAGCUUGUUGGCGGGGUAACGGCCCACCAAGGCUACGAUGGGUAGCUGGUCUGAGAGGAUGAUCAGCCACACUGGAACUGAAACACGGUCCAGACUCCUACGGGAGGCAGCAGUGGGGAAUAUUGCGCAAUGGGGGAAACCCUGACGCAGCGACGUCGUGUGAGGGAAGAAGGCCUUCGGGUCGUAAACCUCUGUCAGAAGGGAAGAACAUCCGGGA
rnacentral:rRNA from 1 species